GCGCACUGGUUUGAUCGGGAUACUCAUCAAUUUACAUUUUAUUACCGAGAAAUGUUUCGCUAUCCAAUGGCGUGCCACCCCUUCGUGGUUAGGUGGAUUACAAAGGCGGCGAACCCUCAAAACCUGUUUUUCGGAGUUUCAUCACAUCACCAGUGUGCCCUUUC
rnacentral:sRNA from 1 species